UACAGAGGGGGCAAGCGUUGUUCGGAAUUACUGGGCGUAAAGGGCGCGUAGGCGGCCUUCUAAGUCGAACGUGAAAUCCCCGGGCUCAACCCGGGAACUGCGUCCGAUACUGGAAGGCUUGAAUCCGGGAGAGGGAUGCGGAAUUCCAGGUGUAGCGGUGAAAUGCGUAGAUAUCGGAAGGAACACCUGUGGCGAAAGCGGCUCACUGGACCACAACUGACGCUGAUGCACGAAAGCUAGGGGAGCAAACAGG
rnacentral:rRNA from 1 species